rnacentral:rRNA from 1 species
GUGGGGAAUCUUCCGCAAUGGACGAAAGUCUGACGGAGCAACGCCGCGUGAGUGAAGAAGGUUUUCGGAUCGUAAAGCUCUUUCGUUAGGGACGAACGUGCUCUUUGUGAAUAAUGAGGAGUAAUGACGGUACCUAAAUAAGAAGCCACGGCUAACUACGUGCCAGCAGCCGCGGUAAUACGUAGGUGGCAAGCGUUGUCCGGAAUUAUUGGGCGUAACGCGCGCGCAGGCGGGAUAUCAAGUCUGUCGUAAAAGUGCGAGGCUCAACCUCGUGAGGGGACAGAAACUGGUAUUCUUGAGUGUCGGAGAGGAAAGUGGAAUUCCAAGUGUAGCGGUGAAAUGCGUAGAGAUUUGGAAGAACACCAGUGGCGAAGGCGACUUUCUGGACGAUGUCUGACGCUGAGGCGCGAAAGCUAGGGGAGCGAACGGGAUUAGAUACCCUAGUAGUCC